CAGUUAAACGCGAGCAUUAUAUUCCUCGUAACAUCGGCCGUGUUGUCGUAUGCCGGACGCUCUAUUCCGCCGCCAACGUCGCCGUCGCCGCCGUCGUUGUUGCUGUCGCUCCGCCGUCGCACGCGUGCCACCUCGCUCUCCUCGAGCGUCGCAUGUUGUGUCAAUAAGUCUGCCAAAGAGCUCCGUGUCACGGGACGAGGCUGGUGCAACUUCGGAGGGGCACGUAGGGAUUACGUAGUAUAAUAUCGCGCGCGUCGUCGUCGCUGUCCUCGUGUUCGUACGUGCGUGUCUGCCUGCCCGCCUGCGUGAUCGCCUGUCUGCUUGCUUGCCUGCUGCGUGCGUGCGUGCGUGCGCGCGCGCGCGUUUACACGCGUCAAGCAGGUUAUAGUCCGUGUUCGGGGUCGAAAAUGAGUAGUAUAACGUUCGCGUUAUGACAACGAGACGUCGCGUUCAGCGAAAAAUUAUUCCUUUUAUCGGGGUCGCUCGUCGUUGUGACUUCGGUUUACAGAUUUCGCGUCUAGCUGGCUGCUUGGCUGGCUCCGUUGCUUGUUGGAGGGCGUUCUUUCGUGGCGCGGCAAGCGUCGGUUCGGCGUCGCUCGGUCGUUUUCGCCGAGCCUCGACCGUAUGCCAGCGAAUCGUUCCCAAAAGCCUGCUGACUCUCUGUCUCGGGAACUCUAUCGAAGCCGAUAUUCUCAUAGCUAGAUUAUGUUGAAAUAUUAUUCUGUCGCAUAGGUUGAGUUUCGAUGAAAAAUAAAAAAACCCUAAACCUUCUUUUGUGUCUGCGUCUUCUUUUACGCGAUGUUUACCCUUGAAUCUAGUUUCAAGAUCGUAAAUGUCUAGCAGCAUGAAGUUGACUUCAUCGUUCCGAAUCCAUUGCGAUUCAUCGAACGUACACACACACGCAGAUCGUCUGUGUCGCAUGUUUCAGUUCGUACUCACACACAUAUGCGACGUUCGCGGCGCGGUAAGCGGUCGGCGAGCGUCGUGGCUACUUCGGCACUUUUCGAUCGGCGAAUUCAUGUGCCCCAGUAAAACCUAGGCACUGAGACUCUAUACGAUUUCGCCGUGUUCUACACAAAAUAAACGUUGCUCAUAUUCCAAUAAAUCUUUCUAAAAAAAUAUACAAUGCCAUUUAAACUGGAGUAUCAAUAAAGAUUCACAUAUGCAUAUAAAUAAAAUGCAGCGAAUCUAAAAGCUAAUAAUAAAGGUGAUCCCGAAUAGUCUCACGUUUAAUUGAUCCAAACUAGCAUGAAUCGAAAACGCUGUUUGAUUCAUACAACAAUCUAUUGUCAGCGAAGUCGCGGCGUCCACGAACGUGUUUACGUUAUCGGAUGACUGAAGUUUAAUCCGUUCGAUACACGCGCUGAACUUGAGCGAUACGCGACGUGAGUGUGUUAGAGAGGUCCGAUCGGUAUCUCUCUCGGGCCAGUCAAACACAGCACGGAGAUGUGCGUGAAUGAAAACGUAAAUAACAUGGGCGCGCGAACCGCACGUAUUUACCCAUGUUCUCGAGAGAGUGCAAGAUCGCGCGGAUUACAUAAUAUUAUUUUUAUCUGCCGGCAAUGUUAUUAUCCCGCCGAUUGCGACAAUAAAUGGAGUCCGAGGUUCAUUCAACUCCGGAAUCUAUCAGGAGAGAAAGAGAGAGAGAAGAGAAAGUGUGUAGCGAAGAGCCAAUUAUCGUAUGCGAUAAAUUUGCCGAUUCCAGUUUGAGAUUCUUAUCUUUAUUCCGUGACGUGUAAAAGAUUCUUCUUUUAUUUAUGACAGGAAAUUGAACCCAGGCCGAGAUAACAACGGCAUCGAUACGCGGUAUCGUUCGCGGGACGAGAUCACCUGUAGCAGACUAAAUACCAUGUGUUCCCAUCAGACGUGUUUACAUUGGACCGUCUGCUACUAUUCGUUUACGAUUACUUAGUUCCGUGUAGCCGCGUGCGCCUCCACGUACUCGCAGGUCGUUCUCUCGCUGCCGAUACAUCGACGUUUAUUGACCGUAUACCGUAUACCGCGUGACCGUACGUAAAGUCCCUUUUUACCGUUCAUAGUUCGUUUGUACUAUCGCGAGAAUCUAUGCGAAUAUUUCUCGCUAUUACUUCCUCAAGAGCCUACAAUUUAACGCUCCGCCCUUUUCUAAUUCCAGCAAUUUCGUAAUUCGAAAAUGAGAGAAAGAAAAUCGUGCAAUUUUUCCGUUAUACGAUCGUAAUUCAAACUCCAAAUUUUCCAUUCUUGAAAAAUAUAUGUAAUAACUUUAUUCUCAUCCCAGUUUACCUAAUAAAGAACAAAAUUGUGAUUAAAAAUUGACGACUUUCGUGAAAUUUGUAAAAAACUUUCCAGCAUUUGAUAUUUUACAAAUUAAUGUCAAAAUUAAUUGCGAAACAGAUUGUUCCCCUUGCGGCUUCCUUAUUAUUUUGCAACGCAGUAAAUCAACGUGAGAGAGCAUAGAAUAACAUGGCGGGUUUCGCCGUGCAACGGCACCGAGAGCGCAUGUACUCCGCGAACGAUUCGUGCGGUUAACUUAAAGAUCGCGAGCAUUGCCGCCGUCGGUGGCCGAGCCAACGUGCCCGACGGUAUCCUAUUCCCCUUGGGCAUGGCGCAUCUCGCGGGACAUUAUCUCGAGUAGGAGAGUAUCUCGAGGUGGAGAGAAGCUGGGACCCGCUCGAUGCCGCAACGACGGCGUCCGGAAGCUCCGGAGUACGGGCGUGGUAAAUCCUGCAAAUAAUCCCGGCGUCGCGCCGCGAGCUCCUCGCGUUCAUAUCCGGAUCCAUGUUCUUUCGUUCGUACGUUCCGUGGAAAAUUCACGUAGCAGUACAUUUCGAUUGCGUUUCGACGCCUCGAAGCCGCGCCGUGGGAGCGCAAGAAGUUCGAUAGCGUGUCGCAGAGUGACAGUCGCAUGAUCCGGCGAACCGAAUAUAGCCGAGCGCGACACAAAACGUCACGUCGUGCACCGAGA